AAAUUGAAGAGUUUGAUCAUGGCUCAGAUUGAACGCUGGCGGCAGGCCUAACACAUGCAAGUCGAGCGGUAGCACAGAGAGCUUGCUCUCGGGUGACGAGCGGCGGACGGGUGAGUAAUGUCUGGGAAACUGCCUGAUGGAGGGGGAUAACUACUGGAAACGGUAGCUAAUACCGCAUAAUGUCGCAAGACCAAAGUGGGGGACCUUCGGGCCUCAUGCCAUCAGAUGUGCCCAGAUGGGAUUAGCUAGUAGGUGGGGUAACGGCUCACCUAGGCGACGAUCCCUAGCUGGUCUGAGAGGAUGACCAGCCACACUGGAACUGAGACACGGUCCAGACUCCUACGGGAGGCAGCAGUGGGGAAUAUUGCACAAUGGGCGCAAGCCUGAUGCAGCCAUGCCGCGUGUGUGAAGAAGGCCUUCGGGUUGUAAAGCACUUUCAGCGGGGAGGAAGGCGAUAAGGUUAAUAACCUUGUCGAUUGACGUUACCCGCAGAAGAAGCACCGGCUAACUCCGUGCCAGCAGCCGCGGUAAUACGGAGGGUGCAAGCGUUAAUCGGAAUUACUGGGCGUAAAGCGCACGCAGGCGGUCUGUCAAGUCGGAUGUGAAAUCCCCGGGCUCAACCUGGGAACUGCAUUCGAAACUGGCAGGCUAGAGUCUUGUAGAGGGGGGUAGAAUUCCAGGUGUAGCGGUGAAAUGCGUAGAGAUCUGGAGGAAUACCGGUGGCGAAGGCGGCCCCCUGGACAAAGACUGACGCUCAGGUGCGAAAGCGUGGGGAGCAAACAGGAUUAGAUACCCUGGUAGUCCACGCCGUAAACGAUGUCGAUUUGGAGGUUGUGCCCUUGAGGCGUGGCUUCCGGAGCUAACGCGUUAAAUCGACCGCCUGGGGAGUACGGCCGCAAGGUUAAAACUCAAAUGAAUUGACGGGGGCCCGCACAAGCGGUGGAGCAUGUGGUUUAAUUCGAUGCAACGCGAAGAACCUUACCUGGUCUUGACAUCCACAGAACUUAGCAGAGAUGCUUUGGUGCCUUCGGGAACUGUGAGACAGGUGCUGCAUGGCUGUCGUCAGCUCGUGUUGUGAAAUGUUGGGUUAAGUCCCGCAACGAGCGCAACCCUUAUCCUUUGUUGCCAGCGGUUCGGCCGGGAACUCAAAGGAGACUGCCAGUGAUAAACUGGAGGAAGGUGGGGAUGACGUCAAGUCAUCAUGGCCCUUACGACCAGGGCUACACACGUGCUACAAUGGCAUAUACAAAGAGAAGCGACCUCGCGAGAGCAAGCGGACCUCAUAAAGUAUGUCGUAGUCCGGAUUGGAGUCUGCAACUCGACUCCAUGAAGUCGGAAUCGCUAGUAAUCGUAGAUCAGAAUGCUACGGUGAAUACGUUCCCGGGCCUUGUACACACCGCCCGUCACACCAUGGGAGUGGGUUGCAAAAGAAGUAGGUAGCUUAACCUUCGGGAGGGCGCUUACCACUUUGUGAUUCAUGACUGGGGUGAAGUCGUAACAAGGUAACCGUAGGGGAACCUGCGGUUGGAUCACCUCCUUACCUUAAAGAA
rnacentral:rRNA from 3 species